AGAGUUUGAUCCUGGCUCAGAUUGAACGCUGGCGGAAUGCUUUACACAUGCAAGUCGAACGGCAGCACGGGUGCUUGCACCUGGUGGCGAGUGGCGAACGGGUGAGUAAUGCGUCGGAACGUGCCGAGUAAUGGGGGAUAACGCAGCGAAAGUUGUGCUAAUACCGCAUACGCCCUCCGGGGGAAAGCAGGGGAUCGCAAGACCUUGCGUUAUUCGAGCGGCCGACGUCUGAUUAGCUUGUUGGUGAGGUAAUGGCUCACCAAGGCGACGAUCAGUAGCGGGUCUGAGAGGAUGAUCCGCCACACUGGGACUGAGACACGGCCCAGACUCCUACGGGAGGCAGCAGUGGGGAAUUUUGGACAAUGGGGGCAACCCUGAUCCAGCCAUUCCGCGUGAGUGAAGAAGGCCUUCGGGUUGUAAAGCUCUUUCAGCUGGAGUGAAACGGUACGCUCUAACAUAGCGUGCUAAUGACGGUACCAGCAGAAGAAGCACCGGCUAACUACGUGCCAGCAGCCGCGGUAAUACGUAGGGUGCGAGCGUUAAUCGGAAUUACUGGGCGUAAAGCGUGCGCAGGCGGAUUGUUAAGCAAGACGUGAAAUCCCCGGGCUUAACCUGGGAAUGGCGUUUUGAACUGGCAGUCUAGAGUGUGUCAGAGGGGGGUGGAAUUCCACGUGUAGCAGUGAAAUGCGUAGAGAUGUGGAGGAACACCAAUGGCGAAGGCAGCCCCCUGGGAUAACACUGACGCUCAUGUACGAAAGCGUGGGUAGCAAACAGGAUUAGAUACCCUGGUAGUCG
rnacentral:rRNA from 1 species